UCUUCUUGGAAAGCUGGUUAAGUUCUUUAC
rnacentral:piRNA from 1 species